rnacentral:lncRNA from 1 species
UUAGAAGGAUGUUCGCGAAUUUUGACUAACCUUGAUUCAAGAAAGGAAAUAAUUGUCCUUAAGGGACAGGCUGUUGUGAGUCAUUUUAGGUUAAGGGCUCAAUAAUCUCUUGAGUUUCUGGAACACUGGGUAGAUGUUCUGGGUGCAUGUGUUAAGAUAUUAAGGUGUAUUUGGGCUGAGACGUAAAUCACACUUCCUCGAUAGCAUCCUGCCUACCAGCUCCAUCUUGAUUUUCUUUUCACACAUU